rnacentral:tRNA from 1 species
GGUGGUAUAAUUUAGUGAUAGAGUACAGGCUUAGCAUACAUAAGGUCCUGGGUUCAGUCCCCAGUACCUCCA